UCUCAAAAAAAAAAAAAAAAAAGUAGUCCCCUAUCGAUGGACAUUUACGUUAGAUUGUUUCCAAUCUAGAAAAAAGUACAAAAAGAAAAAAAAGCAUAAAAUAAACAAGAAACAAAAACAAACACAAAAAUAAAAUAGAUGAUUUCCAUUCAUCUGUUAUUAUAAAUAAUGGUGCAAUGAAUAACAUUUGGGAGUUUAUCUGUAGGUGAAAUUCCUAGAAGUGGAAAUGCUUUCGAGGAUAUAUACAGCUAAAUUUUUUUUACACCUGUAAUUUUAAUAGAUGCUGCUAAAUUGCUCUCCACAGAGAUUGCACCAGUUCACAGUUCCACCAGCUAUAUAUGUUGGUGCCUGUUAUCCAGCCAGCAGGAUGUUGUUAAAUGUUUUGUUCUUUUUUUUUUUUUUUUUGAGACAGAGUUUUGCUCUUGUUGCCCAGGCUGGAGUGCAAUGGCG
rnacentral:lncRNA from 1 species